rnacentral:rRNA from 1 species
GACGAACGCUGGCGGCGUGCUUAACACAUGCAAGUCGAACGGAAAGGCCCUGCUUUUGUGGGGUGCUCGAGUGGCGAACGGGUGAGUAACACGUGAGUAACCUGCCCCUGACUUUGGGAUAACUUCAGGAAACUGGGGCUAAUACCGGAUAGGAGCUCCUGCUGCAUGGUGUGGGUUGGAAAGUUUCGGCGGUUGGGGAUGGACUCGCGGCUUAUCAGCUUGUUGGUGGGGUAGUGGCUUACCAAGCCUAUGACGGGUAGCCCGCCUGGGAGCGUGACCGGCCACAUUGGGACUGCGAUACGGCCCAGACUCCUACGGGACGCAGCAGGCGAGAAUAUUGCACAGUGGGCGGAAGCCUGAUGUGGAAACGCCGCGUGCGGGAUACCGGGCUUCGGGUUAUGAACCGAUUUCGACUGUGACGAAGCGUUAGUGACGGUAAUGGGUAAAGAAGCACCGGCUAACUACGUG